rnacentral:lncRNA from 1 species
AUCAGCUCAAGAUAACGGCGAUUCAAAUAUGAUCAUAUCUGAAGGCCAACUAUUAUCCUUUAGUGAGCUUCUUUGGUGCAGGAUGCCGUUUAUCAACUUCAAUAUGGGGACCAACUUCCUUGGAAUACUCCUUGACACAAUUCCUCCAUUGGAUGAAGAGGGGGCCAUAGAUACACUGUCAAAGGAGACAGAGGAGGCAGAUAGAACGAGGGAGGAGGUCUGUAGAACCUGGGUACACCGUGGACUGUUCCCGAGUUCUCAUGAUGCAAUACUCAAUAUCAACACGACAACAUGCGCUUUGUGUGUGCUCUGCUGCCCCCUGGCAGACUCUAGCGGUACUACAGCCUACAGUGAUCUCUCUGCUCUUCCACCCGUAGAAAUAGAAGACAGGACACUAUAUUAUUAUGGUUACACCCACAGGCAAUAUCCCAUCUAUGGUUGCAUCACUCCCUGUCUUAGAGAGCACCUCACUGUCUUAGCAUACAUGCUUGUCAGACGUAACCACCGAUUGUGAUGUUGUCGGUGAAGUUGUGAAGUCGGUGUAAUCUGCUGCCGCUGGAACUCAACGACGCGCACCACAGUCAACCAGCGCUUACGUCACAAGGCGCAACAGAAUGCAUUGCACCAUGACUCUCUAGUGCCAGUAGUAGUAAAACUGUAGUUCCACACACUUCCUAUUCAGAGAGCUGCCUGCGUCAGUGAUGAUAACCAUUAGGGAAAGAUUCCACACGCACUGUUCAUCACCACACUAAGACAUGCUGUACUUGUUCUACAUAAUGUAUCCUCUGUCUUAGACAGGCAGUAGAUGAAAUAAAACCAACGGAAGAAUGUGCAUCAUAUGUUUCUUCAUCUCACAAAAGAAAUCGGAUCAAAUUCAGACUAUUCUUGAGACACAUUCCACUACUCUUUCUGUUUCUUCUAGUUUCUGAUUACGUUGCAUUAAGUAUACACGCGCACGCACGCACACACACACACACCAAUGUAGUUCCAUUUCAGCAGUUCAGUGCGCAGUCUCCUUGUAGAGAUCCUCCCCCUCAAUCCUGCCAGAACAAUCCUUUUUUCAAAAUGUUCUACUAGAAAUUAAACCACAGAUUGCAUCUUUA